UCGCGUUUCUGUACUCUUCGGCGCCCAUGGAAAGACCGAGUCCUGGGCUUUGCAUGAACGUAAGACUGCCGUUUCCUCUCUGUGGCUGACAUUUAAACAAUAAAAGGAUUUUAGAGUAGGCAAAAGGCAACAGUAAGGUUGAAUACACUGAGCACCAGGGAAGGGCAGUAGGAAGCUCACCCUGCAGUUUACCGGGGUGGUAGAGGUGUGGGUGCUGAGGCUGCCCCGGGCACGCUGCAGGGUGCGACACAGCCCAGCCCUGUGCCUCGGGGCCAGUUCUGCCCGACUGGACCCAGCUGGGCACAGCCCCGGCCGAAAUGCUGCCCAGGCUCCCGCUGGCUGCCCAGCCCAGCUCCUGGCCGAGGGCAGGAACCAGCACGGCGCUCGGAAGGGCUGGAUGCAGUCUGCUCCUCGCCGCCUCCCCCAGAAACAGUUGUUUGUCUUAAGUUGAGACUUUUUUCCCUGGGGCUGCCACAGAUUUUCCACCCCCGGGGCCAACCAACGGCCAGGGAGGGAGGCUCAUUAGCGGCCAUGAGGGCGGCCGUCCCUGCCCGUGCCAGGCCCGGCUGCUGAGGGAGGCGGGCGGCAGCUUGGCGCAAAGUGCCAAACAAGCGUCCUUGUUUUCCUCGGUUGCCAGGGUAGGAGUUGACAUUGUCCCCAGCGGAGCACAAGGACUCCCCGUGACAUGGCGGGGACAAUGGGAAGAAACAAUUCAGAAAGUGACGCAUUACUUCUGCCUGUGGACAGAGGGAACAGCUGAAACGUGGGAGACCAGACUACAGCUGUGUGACUACAGCUUUUUUUUUCCUUUUUUUUUUUUUUCAUUUUUCUUUUUUCAUUUUUUAAGCAACACUUGUUUUAGUGAAUAAAAACUACUGAUUCCCUC